rnacentral:rRNA from 1 species
UACGGGGGGAGCAAGCGUUGUUCGGAUUUACUGGGCGUAAAGGGCGCGUAGGCGGUCGUGACAAGUCACUUGUGAAAUCUCCGGGCUUAACUCGGUAGCGGCCAAGUGAUACUGUCGGACUAGAGUGCGGUAGGGGAGACUGGAAUUCCUGGUGUAGCGGUGAAAUGCGCAGAUAUCAGGAGGAACACCGGUGGCGAAGGCGGGUCUCUGGGCCGUAACUGACGCUGGAGGAGCGAAAGCGUGGGGAGCGAACAGG